CGAGCCCCGGCCCCAGCACGCGCUCUCCCGGCUGGAACUGUUACUACGCAGGAGGGGAACAUGCGUGUGUGUGGAGGGGGACCUGUGAGCGGAGGAUGUAGAGAGACAGCUGAGAACUGUGAGACAGCGCCAGUCCCCAAGGCCCCAGUGGCUGUGUGGAGGUCAGAGGUGCUGCCGUGUGGUCCCGUCUCAUGGAGACAGUGGCCGUGCUCCUGACCCCAGGCCAGUGCCUGCAGCCCCUUCCUUCCUUGCCUGCCUGAUCACACAAGCAUUAGCAAGAUGAUUCUGCUCCUGUCUUGAAAAGUGUUCUUUCAGCACGGACCUCCGUCUGUUACGUUCAGAAACGACAUGACUCUCAUCACCCAUGAAACGACGGGGCUCUCAUCACCCAUGAAACGACGUGGCUCUCAUCACCCAUGAAACGAUGGGACUCUCAUCACCCAUGAAACGCGAUCAUUACUGGGCAGUUUUCUCCCCUCUCCAGCACAGACCCAGCCACGGGCCAGGAGGUUGAUCAGGCUCAGAGGUUUGAUCUAAUCUCACAGGGGCAGUCUGGGGCUGGCGUUCAGGUGCCAUCGGGCAUGGGGCUGAGGUGUGAAGCAGCUUGUGAAUUCACUGGCUGAAACCAGUUCUGCCCAGACCUUCUCACCAGAUCAAGACCUUCCUGCGAUUUUCAUUUUGUCACACUCAGCAUCAGUUUUUCAAACUCUUGGGUCCUUAAUGUUCCUAAUGCCCUGCCUGACAACUGCCUGACACCUGCCCAUGGAACGUUCCCUUAUGUUGAGAAAAAGGUCGGAGAACCGCCAACGCGGCCGGGAGACCAGGCCAGCAUCAAAUGGAGGCCGUGAGUUUACCCAGUGGGCUUCAGAGGCGUCCACGGGAAGAAAGCUGUGACCACCACUGGAGGAAGCAGCACUGCAGCCACGACCGUGUGCUCCUCACAGGCUCUGCACCUUCUCCAACUGCUGUGUGACCUUGGGGAGUUCCCCUGACGUCUCUGUGCGGUACUGCAGCCACGACCGUGUGCUCCUCACAGGCUCUGCACCUUCUCCAACUGCUGUGUGACCUUGGGGAGUUCCCCUGACCUCUCUGUGCGGUACUGCAGCCACGACCGUGUGCUCCUCACAGGCUCUGCACCUUCUCCAACUGCUGUGUGACCUUGGGGAGUUCCCCUGAACUUGACCUCUCUGUGCGGUACUGCAGCCACGACUGUGUGCUCCUCAUGGGGCUCUGCACCUUCUCCAACCGCUGUGUGACCUUGGGGAGUUCCCCUGACCUCUCUGUGCGGUACUGCAGCCACGACUGUGUGCUCCUCAUGGGGCUCUGCACCUUCUCCAACAGCUGUUAGGGAGUUCAGAACUGCAACAGAACUUGGGGAGUUCCCCUGCCCUCUCUGUGCGGAGGCUUCUUUGUCUGCACAAGGGGAAUAAUACUAUGGUCCAUGAGAUAUUGUGUGUAAAGCCUCGGCACCACACCUGGGGCUUCAUCUGUGCUCAAAAAGUUAGAUAUUGUCGUUUUACUUAUGCUGAUAAUUAUGUCUCUUUUCUCCCACAUCUGUCUACCUCACAUCUGGUCCUGCCCGACGGUCUUAUCGCUUCAUCGAUGGUAGGUUCUGGAUUCCCC
rnacentral:lncRNA from 1 species